UACGUAGGGGGCAAGCGUUGUCCGGAAUCAUUGGGCGUAAAGAGCGUGUAGGUUGUUCGAUAAGUCUGCUGUGAAAGUCCAGGGCUCAACCCUGGGAUGCCGGUGGAUACUGUCGGACUAGAGUACGGAAGAGGCGAGUGGAAUUCCCGGUGUAGCGGUGAAAUGCGCAGAUAAUCGGGAGGAACACCCAGGGGGAAACCAGCCGACUGGGCAUC
rnacentral:rRNA from 1 species